CCUAUCUUUGGGAUGGAGAGAGAACAAUCACUUGGAAUGUCUGUGAAAAUAAGGGUUUUGCUUGGAGUUUGAAUUGUCAGUAGAGUGCAGUGAGAGUGGAUGAGCCGAGAAAAUAAAUUUUUUUGUUAAGUGAAUUGCAGAUUGGGAGAGAGUCAACAUGACAACCGACAAGGGAACUGCUACGAGUAACAAUCCUUUAGAACAGUUUGUUUUGUUGGCCAAAUCUGCAAAAGGAGCUGCAGCAGUGGAACUUAUCAAACAAGUUUUAGAAGCUCCUGGUGUCCAUGUGUUUGGCGAACUGUUAGAUAUGCCGAAUGUAAUUGAAUUAGAAAGUGGCCCUCAUGCACCCUAUUACCGAGCAUUGCAUUUAUUUGCAUAUGGAACUUACAAACAAUAUCUAGAAAAUAAAGCUCAGCUCCUGGAUUUGACACCUUUGCAGAAAAAGAAAUUACAACAUCUAACAAUAGUUACACUCGCCACAAAGUCAAAGUGUAUUCCCUAUUCAGUAUUACUACAAGAAUUGGAUAUGAAGAACGUGAGAGAUUUGGAAGAUCUCAUCAUUGAAGCCAUUUAUGCUGAUAUUAUUCAUGGGAAACUUGAUCUGAAAAAUAGCCAACUAGAAGUAGACUAUGCAAUUGGAAGAGACAUCCAGCCUGCUGAUCUCGGAUCAAUCGUCUCAACUCUACAAGAAUGGUGCGACUCUUGUGAAACUGUGCUAUCAUGUGUAGAGAUGCAAAUCAAUCGUGCAAAUUCAGAGAAGAAUCGUCGGCUGAAACAUAAGGAAGCUGUUGAGCAAGAGAUUGUCAAUAUCAAAAAAACAUUGAAGACUCAAACUCAAGACACUGAUGAGGCGAUGGCAACAGAUACCCGUGAAACGGCAUCGCAGACAGGAGACAAAGGGAAAAAACCUUUCAAAGGCAAAGGAAUUCGCAGCAGUUCUGGGAAAUUUUGGCAAAAAUCCUGAAGUGUGAAAGUUUAUUAUGUGACUAGACAUCAGAGUUCUACCAAAUAGGGAUUGUUGCCUUCAUUGUGCCUCAUCGAGGGAUUGUGAGACUGAAGUGAUAAAAGAAACUGGACUUUGAACUGCAAGCCAUAGAUCACAGCAGGUUAUCAGCUGAAAUCUUGUGAACACUCCCUACGGCUGCAACACCAUGCAAGGUGACCCUACACCAGUGCGCAAGAGACAACUGGAGAAAUGGAUCAUGAAAUAAAACUGUAACUGCAAACUGAGGCUGUUCUACUACCACCACCACUAAUACUUCUACCACUACUACUACUACUAUUACUACAACUAUUACACGAGACUGUGUUCCACCCAACUGCUAUGAUGCUUAUUGAAGAUGAUUUAUUUUUGUCUUGUAAUUUUGUGUGUACUCUUGCACACUUCAUUUCAUAAUUUUGAUGGUUGUUCUGUGCGUGUUUCACCUCCAUUUACUCAAACCAUUUGUUUCAUGCAAUAUAUGUUAUUAUUCCAAUUAUAAUGUAGUGUUUUCUCAGUGUUCUGUCUUCGAUAAUAAUGCAGUGCCAUUAAGGUAUUUUAGAAUCUUGGACUGUACUCUCUAAUUGAUG